rnacentral:rRNA from 1 species
GAUGAACGCUGGCGGCGUGCCUAAUACAUGCAAGUCGAGCGAACGGACGAGAAGCUUGCUUUUCUGAUGUUAGCGGCGGACGGGUGAGUAACACGUGGAUAACCUACCUAUAAGACUGGGAUAACUUCGGGAAACCGGAGCUAAUACCGGAUAAUAUUUUGAACCGCAUGGUUCAAAAGUGAAAGACGGUCUUGCUGUCACUUAUAGAUGGAUCCGCGCUGCAUUAGCUAGUUGGUAAGGUAACGGCUUACCAAGGCAACGAUGCAUAGCCGACCUGAGAGGGGGGUCGGCCACACUGGAGCUGAGACACGGUCCAGACUCCUACGGGAGGCAGCAGUAGGGAAUCUUCCGCAAUGGGCGAAAGCCUGACGGAGCAGCGCCGCGUGAGUGAUGAAGGUCUUCGGAUCGUAAAACUCUGUUAUUAGGGAAGAACAUAUGUGUAAGUAACUGUGCACAUCUUGACGGUACCUAAUCAGAAAGCCACGGCUAACUACGUG